rnacentral:rRNA from 1 species
AUUGAACGCUGGCGGCAGGCCUAACACAUGCAAGUCGAGCGAGCGGCGGACGGGUGAGUAAUGUCUGGGAAACUGCCUGAUGGAGGGGGAUAACUACUGGAAACGGUAGCUAAUACCGCAUACCAUCAGAUGUGCCCAGAUGGGAGUAGCUAGUAGGUGGGGUAACGGCUCACCUAGGCGACGAUCCCUAGCUUGUCUUAGAGGAUGAUCAGCCACACUGGAACUGAGACACGGUCCAGACUCCUACGGGGGGCAGCGGUGGGGAAUAUUGCACAAUGGGCGCAAGCCUGAUGCAGCCAUGCCGCGUGUGUGAAGAAGGCCUUCGGGUUGUAAAGCACUGUCAGCGGGGAGGUGUUACCCGCAGAAGAAGCCCCGGCUAACUCCGUGCCAGCAGCCGCGGUAAUAC